UACGGGGGGAGCAAGCGUUGUUCGGAUUUACUGGGCGUAAAGGGCGCGUAGGCGGCGCAACAAGUCACUUGUGAAAUCUCCGGGCUUAACCCGGAGCGGCCAAGUGAUACUGUCGUGCUAGAGUGCGGAAGGGGCUACUGGAAUUCUCGGUGUAGCGGUGAAAUGCGUAGAUAUCAGGAGGAACACCAAUGGCGAAGGCAGCACUCGUGGGACGUGACUGACGCUGAGACGCGAAAGCGUGGGGAGCAAACAGG
rnacentral:rRNA from 1 species